GACAUCUUAGCUCCAAUCCAAUCAACUUUUAUUCCUUUGGAAGCGUACAGAGUUGGCAGGCCUUUUGAGCCAGUUGUACAGUUAUACCACUGACCUUCCAAUUACAGGCAGGGGCUGAUGGUCCACUCUACUACAGCAAUUCAGUCAGACUACAUCAGUCAUUCAUUUCAUUUCACUCAUCAGAUAGUUUUGUACUGUCAGAAUAAAUAGUCUGGUUAACAAUAACAAAGACAACUUCAGAAAGGUACAAAACAGCUAUAGAGCACUGAAUAUACUGUAUGUUUACAAUUGUAAGCAUAGAAGACUUCACUUAAUAUAAGUUACUGUAGUUUUGUUAUGUCCCGAAGCCCAGUUUACAGUAAAUAUGUAGUGUAGUGUGACCUUUGAUUCUAUUCGAAGGCAUGUCAUGAUGUAAUGACAGAAGAGUAAGGUGCCUAGUACUUGGUUUGGUCUGUGGUACACUGUGUCUGUGUGGGGGGUGGGGGCGGGCAAGGACGAAGGAUGAGUACCCCGCUGGCCCCAUAUAAGAACACAAACACAUGGGUGCAUGACAUCCCACCCGGCGUACAGACACAGCCCAUGUGACCGGCUGGCUCAGAGACAGCUGUGACUGUCUAACUGUGGCCCAGGUCAGAUCCUGGCCCGGAUCACAUGCUGCUUAACCCACGUCCAUGUCAGACCGCUAAUCAGUGACCAAUGUAAACGGACCUCUCAAAGCUAUCUUGGACGAGGCACCGUACCCCGUCUUGUGGAUUGAAAAGAGAUAGAGAGAGUGUGUGUGUGUUUCUGUGUAUGUGUGUGUGUGUGUGUGUGUGUGUGUGUUGGAGGGAAAGCGCUUCAGUGGCAGUGGACACUGACAGAAGUGGUCAUUCCUUGACAUUCCUGCUGGGUUAUGGUGGGGACAUGUAUUACGGUUGGGGCAGGUAUCCUGCUGAGUUAUGGUGGGGACCUGUAUUACGGUUAUGGUGGGGACAGGUAUUACGGUUGGGGCAGGUAUGUUGCUGGGUUAUGGUGGGGACCUGUAUUACGGUUGGGGCAGGUAUCCUGCUGGGUUAUGGUGGGGACCUGUAUUACGGUUGGGGCAGGUAUCCUGCUGGGUUAUGGUGGGGACCUGCAUUACGGUUGGGGCAGGUAUCCUGCUGGGUUAUGGUGGGGACCUGCAUUACAGUUGGGGCAGGUAUCCUGUUGCAGCAGCCCACCCUACUUCUGCCCUUUCCAGAGCACCUCCUCCCAGCAAACCUGUUGCCUAACCAGAGUCCCCCAGACUGGACUGAACGUGCACUUCUUGUACUGUCCCGCCUGUUCUGUAUGGACAUGCAGAUAUGGUACUGUAGCCACACACUGGGGCUGUUCGACAGUACGUAUCAGACGACAGCAAUUUAUCAUUGCAUUAAGACAUCUAAGCGCAGCUUACAUAAAUUCCUGAGUGUCCCAUUUGAGGGAAAUAGCCUUAUUCACCCGAACCCGCCAUCAUGUCUCUUUGCCUGGUGUAGACUACAGACAGCACCAUAGACAGUACAACGUUCAGCUAAGUGGAGUAACAUCAUUGCUUUGAUCCAGUAGUAAUGACAUGAAUGCUGUCCUUUUAAGAAUGUAGUGCAUUAUUUUGGGGUCACCUUGGACUCCAGUCUAUCGGUGUAAUCUGGUUUGUCUGAUACUGGCCCUCUACCUCCUCCACCAUCUCUCCAGCUGACAUAUCUAUUGGUCCUUUGACAGCCCCUCAGACCCACUGUAAUCUAGUCACAGGCUUCUCCUUCAGUCAGCUGUUGUUGCUGGGAUGAAUGGCGACUCGCCUUUACAAAGUGUAUAGGAGUUAAGUGUGUCUCAAUGUCAAAGUGCAGCUGGAAAACUGGAUAGAAGGGGGGAUGAGUGUUGAUUCAUGUGGUCUAAAUAACAUGCAGCUUUAAGAGGCUGGUGCUGACAUUGUUGCAUCGAGAAUGAUGGAUGGUCAGUAGUAUUCUUAGGCACUGGAUAAAAUCAAAGCAACUGUUCAUCAUAAUCAAACAAAUUCUCAAAAUAGGUGUUAUAUUAUUGCUGUAGAAUUGUUAUAUAAUUCAGUAUGUACCAUAAGGCUUUUGGUGCAGUCAGUGUUUGCUGAGAGAGACAGUGAGUAUAUUUAUAGAAGGUUGGAAAGCAGGGCCUAUCUACUUGUCAGUGCUUUUAAAAUUGUGCAUCUUUUUAAAUUGUUGCUGUAUUUAUUUUUUAUUGGAGUUAGAUGGUACCGUAUGGAUGGUGUAUUUUUAUUUCCCUAUGUUUGUUUUUUGUGUUUUAAAUUAGGUUUUGUUUGUGAUGCCUGUUUUGGCCAGUACACUCCUGAAAUAGAUUUGUAAUCUUUCCUGGAUAAAGGUUAAAUAAAAAUAAAUCCCAGCUUCAUUGUUUACCUGGCCCCACUAUCAAUGAUCCCAUUCAGUGUUUACCUGGCCCCUCUAUCAAUGAUCCCAUUCAGGGUUUUAC
ensembl:lncRNA